AACAUAAAAAUGGGGCGCCCGGUUAGCUCAGUGGAGAGCUGGUGUACAAAAAUUAGACACAUACUAUCACAGACAGAUGCAGAAAAACUAAUCCAUGCAUUUGUUACUUCAAGGCUGGAUUACUGCAACUCUUUAUUAUCAGGUUGCCCCAAUAAGUCCAUUAAAACGCUCCAAUUAAUUCAGAACGCUGCAGCACGAGUACUGACAGGAACUAGAAAAAGAGAUCACAUCUCUCCUGUACUAGCUACUCUGCAUUGGCUCCCUAUAAAAUGUAGAAUUGAAUUUAAAAUCCUCCUCCUCACCUAUAAAGCUCUUCAUGGUCAGGCCCCUUCAUAUCUUAAAGAGCUCAUAGUACCCUAUUACCCCACUAGAACACUACGUUCUCUGAAUGCUGGGCUACUUGUGGUUCCUAUAGUCUCUAAAAGUAGAACAGGAGCCAGAGCCUUCAGUUACCAAGCUCCUCUCCUGUGGAACCAGCUUCCAGUUGUGGUUCGGGAGGCAGACACCCUCACCACAUUCAAGAGUAGGCUUAAGACAUUCCUCUUUGAUAAAGCUUAUAGUUAGGGCUGGAUCAGGUGAGUCCUGAACCAUCCCUUAGUUAUGCUGCUAUAGGCCUAGACUAUCGGGGGAUUUCCCAUGGUGCACUGAGCUACUCUCUUCCUCUCUCUUUCUGCACUCAUUCAUGUCCCUUUAAUGCAUGUUACUAACUUCACUUCUUCCCCGGAGUUCUUGUGCUUUCUCGUCUCGCAGGUUCUCAUGGAUCCUGGUGGAGCCUCCUGCCAUGGUCCUGCUUGACUGCCAUUGCCAAUACUGUUGUUGCUGUGCACCUGUCUGUCUGUCUGUCGCUCUCUCUCUCUCUCUCUCUCUCUCUCUCUCUCUCUCUCUCACCCCAACUGGUCGAGACAGACGACCACCCACCUAGAGCCGGAGGAUCUGUCCUAGGUUUCUGCCUUUUAACAGGCAGUUUUUCCUUGCCCUUGUCGCCAAGUGCUUGCUCAUGGUGGUACUGUUGGGUCUCUGUAAUUAAUGUUAUAAAGAGUUCGGUCUAGACCUGCUCUAUUUGAAAAGUGUCCUGAGAUAACUUCUGUUAUGAAUUGGCGCUAUACAAAUAAAAUUGAAUUGAAUUGAA